GACGAACGCUGGCGGCGUGCUUAACACAUGCAAGUCGAACGGAAAGGCCCUGCUUUUGUGGGGUGCUCGAGUGGCGAACGGGUGAGUAACACGUGAGUAACCUGCCCUUGACUUUGGGAUAACUUCAGGAAACUGGGGCUAAUACCGGAUAGGAGCUCCUGCUGCAUGGCGGGGGUUGGAAAGUUUCGGCGGUUGGGGAUGGACUCGCGGCUUAUCAGCUUGUUGGUGGGGUAGUGGCUUACCAAGGCUUUGACGGGUAGCCGGCCUGAGAGGGUGACCGGCAAAAUUGGGACUGAGAUACGGCCCAGACUCCUACGGGAGGAAGCAGUGGGGAAUAUUGCACAAUGGGCGGAAGCCUGAUGAAGCAACGCCGCGUGCGGGAUGACGGCCUUCGGGUUGUAAACCGCUUUCGCCUGUGACGAAGCGUGAGUGACGGUAAUGGGUAAAGAAGCACCGGCUAACUACGU
rnacentral:rRNA from 1 species